rnacentral:rRNA from 1 species
CCUACGGGAGGCUGCAGUAGGGACUCUUCCACAAUGGACGAAAGUCUGCUGGAGCAACGCCGCGUGAGUGAAGAAGGGUUUCGGCUCGUAAAGCUUCGUUGGUAGUGAAGAAAGAUAGAGGUAGGAACUGGCCUUUAUUUUACGGUAAUUACUUAGAUAGUCACGGCUAACUACGGGCCAGCAGCCGCGGUAAUACGUAGGUGGCAAGCGUUGUCCGGAUGUAUUGGGCGUAAAGGGAGUGCAGGCGGUUCAAUAAGUCUGAUGUGAAAGCCUUCGGCUCAACCGGAGAAUUGCAUCAGAAACUGUUGAAUGUGAGUGAAGAAGAGGAGAGUGGAACUCCAAGGGUAGCGGUGGAAUGCGUAGAUAUAUGGAAGAACACCAGUGGCGAAGGCGGCUCUCUGGUCUGCAACUGACGCUGAGGCUCGAAAGCAUGGGUAGCGAACAGGAUUAGAUACCCGGGUAGUC